GUAGUCCACGCCGUAAACGAUGGGUACUAGGUGUUGCGGGAAUUGACCCCUGCAGUGCCGAAGCUAACGCAUUAAGUACCCCGCCUGGGAAGUACGGCCGCAAGGUUAAAACUCAAAGGAAUUGACGGGGGCCCGCACAAGCGGUGGAGCAUGUGGUUUAAUUCGAUGCAACGCGAAGAACCUUACCUGGGUUAGACAAUAGAGGACCGCCGUAGAGAUACGGUUUUCCCUUCGGGGACCUCUAGUUUAGGUGCUGCAUGGCUGUCGUCAGCUCGUAUCGUGAGAUGUCGGGUUAAGUCCCUUAACGAGCGCAACCCCUAUCCCUAGUUGCCACCAUUAAGUUGGGCACUCUAUGGAGACCGCCGGUGUUAAACCGGA
rnacentral:rRNA from 1 species